rnacentral:rRNA from 1 species
CCUACGGGAGGCAGCAGUGAGGAAUAUUGGUCAAUGGACGAGAGUCUGAACCAGCCAAGUCGCGUGAAGGAUGACUGCCCUAUGGGUUGUAAACUUCUUUUAUAUGGGAAUAAAAUGUUCCACGUGUGGGGUUUUGUAUGUACCAUAUGAAUAAGGAUCGGCUAACUCCGUGCCAGCAGCCGCGGGAAUACGGAGGAUCCGAGCGUUAUCCGGAUUUAUUGGGGUUAAAGGGAGCGUAGGUGGAUUUUUAAGUUAGUUGUGAAAGUUGGCGGCUUAAACGUAAAAUUGCAGUUGAAACUGGCAGUCUUGAGUACAGUAGAGGUAGGCGGAAUUCGUGGUGUAGCGGUGAAAUGCUUAGAUAUCACGAAGAACUCCGAUUGCGAAGGCAGUUCACUGGCCUGCAACUGACACUGAGGCUCGAAAGUGUGGGUAUCAAACAGGAUUAGAUACCCGGGUAGUC